rnacentral:rRNA from 1 species
AUGAACGCUGGCGGCGUGCCUAAUACAUGCCAGUCGAGCGAACAGAUAAGGAGCUUGCUCCUUUGACGUUAGCGGCGGACGGGUGAGUAACACGUGGGUAACCUACCUAUAAGACUGGGAUAACUUCGGGAAACCGGAGCUAAUACCGGAUAACAUUUGGAACCGCAUGGUUCUAAAGUGAAAGAUGGUUUUGCUAUCACUUAUAGAUGGACCCGCGCCGUAUUAGCUAGUUGGUAAGGUAACGGCUUACCAAGGCAACGAUACGUAGCCGACCUGAGAGGGUGAUCGGCCACACUGGAACUGAGACACGGUCCAGACUCCUACGGGAGGCAGCAGUAGGGAAUCUUCCGCAAUGGGCGAAAGCCUGACGGAGCAACGCCGCGUGAGUGAUGAAGGGUUUCGGCUCGUAAAACUCUGUUAUUAGGGAAGAACAAACGUGUAAGUAACUGAGCACGUCUUGACGGUACCUAAUCAGAAAGCCACGGCUAACUACGUG